UGAAGUUAAUUCGUAUCUUUGUAAUCAUUCACCCAACAGCUUCAAGGCCUCUGUCCAUAGGAUGAGUUUUUCAUUGGAUUAAUCCACACCGGUCAAUCUCUCUAUAAAGGAAGGGAUGAGCAAUCGUUGUUCUUCACAAACCAGAAGCUUCCCUUGGGCUUGCUGAAAUUCUCCUCUUCUUUCUCUCUUCUGCCAUGUACCUUCUCUGUUGCUCUUCAUUUAGACCAACCAGCAAAAGAGAAUACCAGAUCUGGAAAACUCUCUGUACCUCACGGCUUAACCCAAGAAAAUAGAAGGAAAGUGCAGCAAACCUCUUCUCAUCCCUCUUUGUUCGGCCAUCUGCUGUCCAGCAGCCCUUCUUCCUCUUUAACCAGAAGAAAGCCCCAAGUUUUCCCCUUCUUCUUUACUGAAUCUCCAGUGGUGAUUAUAUCUGUGAACAUUUUCUUGAAGCUGGAAGAAUUACUGUACCAAGGCGUCAGUGAGUUGAGGAG